rnacentral:rRNA from 1 species
UACGGAGGAUGCGAGCGUUAUCCGGAGUUACUGGGUGUAAAGGGAGCGUAGACGGCAGCGCAAGUCUGGAGUGAAAUCCCAUGGCUUAACCAUGGAACUGCUUUGGAAACUGUGCAGCUGGAGUGCAGGAGAGGUAAGCGGAAUUCCUAGUGUAGCGGUGAAAUGCGUAGAUAUUAGGAGGAACACCAGAGGCGAAGGCGGCUAACUGGACUGUAACUGACGCUGAGGCACGAAAGUGUGGGGAGCAAACAGG